rnacentral:rRNA from 2 species
UCAGCGACUUAUAUUCUGUAGCAAGGUUAACCGAAUAGGGGAGCCGAAGGGAAACCGAGUCUUAACUGGGCGUUAAGUUGCAGGGUAUAGACCCGAAACCCGGUGAUCUAGCCAUGGGCAGGUUGAAGGUUGGGUAACACUAACUGGAGGACCGAACCGACUAAUGUUGAAAAAUUAGCGGAUGACUUGUGGCUGGGGGUGAAAGGCCAAUCAAACCGGGAGAUAGCUGGUUCUCCCCGAAAGCUAUUUAGGUAGCGCCUCGUGAAUUCAUCUCCGGGGGUAGAGCACUGUUUCGGCAAGGGGGUCAUCCCGACUUACCAACCCGAUGCAAACUGCGAAUACCGGAGAAUGUUAUCACGGGAGACACACGGCGGGUGCUAACGUCCGUCGUGAAGAGGGAAACAACCCAGACCGCCAGCUAAGGUCCCAAAGUCAUGGUUAAGUGGGAAACGAUGUGGGAAGGCCCAGACAGCCAGGAUGUUGGCUUAGAAGCAGCCAUCAUUUAAAGAAAGCGUAAUAGCUCACUGGUCGAGUCGGCCUGCGCGGAAGAUGUAACGGGGCUAAACCAUGCACCGAAGCUGCGGCAGCGACGCUUAUGCGUUGUUGGGUAGGGGAGCGUUCUGUAAGCCUGUGAAGGUGUGCUGUGAGGCAUGCUGGAGGUAUCAGAAGUGCGAAUGCUGACAUAAGUAACGAUAAAGCGGGUGAAAAGCCCGCUCGCCGGAAGACCAAGGGUUCCUGUCCAACGUUAAUCGGGGCAGGGUGAGUCGACCCCUAAGGCGAGGCCGAAAGGCGUAGUCGAUGGGAAACAGGUUAAUAUUCCUGUACUUGGUGUUACUGCGAAGGGGGGACGGAGAAGGCUAUGUUGGCCGGGCGACGGUUGUCCCGGUUUAAGCGUGUAGGCUGGUUUUCCAGGCAAAUCCGGAAAAUCAAGGCUGAGGCGUGAUGACGAGGCACUACGGUGCUGAAGCAACAAAUGCCCUGCUUCCAGGAAAAGCCUCUAAGCAUCAGGUAACAUCAAAUCGUACCCCAAACCGACACAGGUGGUCAGGUAGAGAAUACCAAGGCGCUUGAGAGAACUCGGGUGAAGGAACUAGGCAAAAUGGUGCCGUAACUUCGGGAGAA